GAUGAACGCUGGCGGCGUGCCUAAUACAUGCAAGUCGAGCGAACGGACGAGAAGCUUGCUUCUCUGAUGUUAGCGGCGGACGUGUGAGUAACACGUGUAUAACCUACCUAUAAGACUGGGAUAACUUCGGGAAACCGGAGCUAAUACCGGAUAAUAUUUUGAACCGCAUGGUUCAAAAGUGAAAGACGGUCUUGCUGUCACUUAUAGAUGGAUCCGCGCUGCAUUAGCUAGUUGGUAAGGUAACGGCUUACCAAGGCAACGAUGCAUAGCCGACCUGAGAGGGUGAUCGGCCACACUGGAACGGAGCCACGCUCCAGACUCCUACGGGAGGCAGCAGUAGGGAAUCUUCCGCAAUGGGCGAAAGCAUGACGGAGCAACGGCGCGUGAGUGAUGAAGGUCUUCGGAGCGUAAAACUCUGUUAUUAGGGAAGAACAUAUGUGUAAGUAACUGUGCACAGCUUGACGGUACCUAAUCAGAAAGCCACGGCUAACUACGUG
rnacentral:rRNA from 1 species